CCAUGUUGUUAAUCUUUGUAUUGGGCUGUAAUGGCGUCCGCAUCUAAAUGUUCAUCUCACUGCUCCGCUAUCAAUUGUUCUAAUCGUAAAUCUAAACGACCAGAGCUGUCAUUCUUUAGGUUCCCCGAUAAAAAAGAAAGAUGUCAACGGUGGGUCCAGAAUACUCGUCGACAAGAUCUCCUACACCGAACUACGGAGUACUUGUCAGCCAACUGUUGUCUUUGUUCUUUACGCUUUGAACUUGACCAGUUUUCCAACAAGCAGACCAAGAACAGGCUAAAUUGGAAUGCAGUUCCAACGCUCUUCGACAUUCCUAACCCGCCGAAACGUCUGUCUUACCAACGCAGGUUACUCAAGAGGACGAAUGAGAACCUCCCAUCCUCACCAACGCCUUUAAAACAGCAAAGAGGCAAGUAAUUUUCUCCUUUUUAAAAUAAA